rnacentral:rRNA from 1 species
AGCUAGUUGGUGGGGUAAAGGCCUACCAAGGCGACGAUCAGUAGCGGGUCUGAGAGGAUGAUCCGCCACACUGGGACUGAGACACGGCCCAGACUCCUACGGGAGGCAGCAGUGGGGAAUUUUGGACAAUGGGCGCAAGCCUGAUCCAGCCAUGCCGCGUGUCUGAAGAAGGCCUUCGGGUUGUAAAGGACUUUUGUCAGGGAAGAAAAGGCUGUCGCUAAUACCGACAGUUGAUGACGGUACCUGAAGAAUAAGCACCGGCUAACUACGUGCCAGCAGCCGCGGUAAUACGUAGGGUGCAAGCGUUAAUCGGAAUUACUGGGCGUAAAGCGAGCGCAGACGGUUACUUAAGCAGGAUGUGAAAUCCCCGGGCUCAACCUGGGAACUGCGUUCUGAACUGGGUGACUAGAGUGUGUCAGAGGGAGGUAGAAUU